UGUCGGGGAAUGAAUUGACGG
rnacentral:piRNA from 1 species